UCGGGAAUUUUGGGCAAUGGGCGAAAGCCUGACCCAGCAACGCCGCGCGAGGGAUGAAGUAUUUCGGUAUGUAAACCUCGAAAGAAUGGGAAGAAUAAAUGACGGUACCAUUUAUAAGCUCCGGCUAACUACGUGCCAGCAGCCGCGGUAAUACGUAGGGAGCAAGCGUUGUUCGGAUUUACUGGGCGUAAGGGGCGCGUAGGCGGCGUGGUAAGUCACUUGUGAAAUCUCUGAGCUUAACUCAGAACGGCCAAGUGAUACUGCUGUGCUAGAGUGCGGAAGAGGCAACCGGAAUUCUUGGUGUAGCGGUGAAAUGCGUAGAUAUCAAGAGGAACACCUGAGGCGAAGGCGGGUUGCUGGGCCGACACUGACGCUGAUGCGCGAAAGCCAGGGGAGCAAACG
rnacentral:rRNA from 1 species